rnacentral:rRNA from 1 species
AUUGAACGCUGGCGGCAGGCCUAACACAUGCAAGUCGAGCGAGCGGCGGACGGGUGAGUAAUGUAUGGGGACUGCCCGAUAGAGGGGGAUACCUACUGGAAACGGUGGCUAACACCGCAUACUAUCGGCUAACCCAUAGGUGAUUAGCUAGUAGGUGGGGUAAAGGCUAACCUAGGCGACGAGUCCUAGCGGGGCUGAGAGGAUGAUCGUCCACACGGGGACUGAGACACGGCCCAGACUCCUACGGAGGCAGCAGUGGGGAAUAUUGCACAAUGGGCGCAAGCCUGAUGGAGCCAGGCCGCGUGUAUGAAGAAGGCCGUAGGGUUGUAAAGUACUGUCAGCGGGGAGGCGUUACCCGCAGAAGAAGCACCGGCUAACUCCGUGCCAGCAGCCGCGGUAAUAC